rfam:Monodelphis domestica chrTn_v05.000019 genomic scaffold, whole genome shotgun sequence.
AUUAAGGUGGCAGAGCAGGUAAUUGCAUAAAACUUAAGCCUUUAUUAUCAGAGGUUCAACCCCUCUCCUUAAUA